rnacentral:rRNA from 1 species
AAAUUGAAGAGUUUGAUCAUGGCUCAGAUUGAACGCUGGCGGCAGGCCUAACACAUGCAAGUCGAACGGUAACAGGAAGAAGCUUGCUUCUUUGCUGACGAGUGGCGGACGGGUGAGUAAUGUCUGGGAAACUGCCUGAUGGAGGGGGAUAACUACUGGAAACGGUAGCUAAUACCGCAUAACGUCGCAAGACCAAAGAGGGGGACCUUCGGGCCUCUUGCCAUCGGAUGUGCCCAGAUGGGA